rnacentral:lncRNA from 1 species
UAAAGGGUAAAAUAACGUAGUACUGUAGUGUUGUAUUAUAGGAACUACUACUGUACUAACUACCUUAAACCGGAUUUAUAUUAAGGUAUCAUGUGAUUAAUUGUACCAUACUACCGACUAGGUAACACGACAUUGUAGGUCGUAAAAAGGUAUGACGUUUGGCACUCACAGACCUGCAGGUCCCACUAUAGCUAGCAGCAAGGUGUAGGAUAGUCAAUACAAUAUAGAUCUAUACGCAAACUCACGCUCUCCCUCCAAGAGACUCUUGCUACAACUCGGGCCAUGACAUUUAAGGCAUGCUCUGAUACAGUGGAUCACAAUUUUGUUAACGUAUUCAUGUAUAUGUAAUGUAUUGUUACUCGUUCUAGUAUCGUUGUAUAUGUUCUCUUUCUAGUAUAGUUGUAAAUGUUCUCUUUCUAAUAUAGUUGUAAAUGUUCUCUUUCUAGUAUAGUUGUAUAUGUUCUUCUUCUAGUAUAAUUGUAUAUGUUCUCAUAGUAAUGUAAUGUAUGUGUUCUCAUAGUAAUAAGUACUGACUCAUGAAUGAACUGACUCAUUGUUCUAGCAAUAGUAUAAGUAUUAUCAUGUGCUACCCUGAUGGUAACUUACUAAUGAUAUAACUAGUACGUAUGAAUAUUGAAGAACUUUUAUGACUAUAUAUGUACACAUGAUAUAUAAUUAAUAUUGAAACGACCUUCGGACGGCUACCCGAUAUCCCACCAGACCACAUCUCAAGCACAAAAAGGAAAUAGGGCGGACGGCCUUCCUAAGCCUUUUAAACAUUUCUUAUAUAACUAUACAUAUGCGGGCAUGCAAUUUAUAAUAAGUAUAACAAAGUUUAAAUAAAAGUAUUUGAUAAGUAAAAGAAUUUGUAAAACACUUUGAUAAAUAGUUUGAACAGUAAUAAAAUCAUUGGUUUUGUAGUUAUUAAUCACAUGUGAUUUAUGUAAUAACUAUAAGUAUUAAACUUGUAUUCCCCCCCCACCAUUAAAGAAUUUAAAACAUUUAAAAGUAUUUCAAAGGUUAGUUAAAGGGGUAUGAACUCACUUGUGGUGAGUGGAUUGGAUUGAAGUGUCGGACACGGUGCUAGGUGACAAAUGAAGACUUGUACACACGCACGAGCCUAGUUAUCAUAUAAUGAACAUAUAUAUAACUAAUUAGCCAAAAUAUAACUAAUAAAUUAAGUUGGGACACUCUAGAACAUGAAAACACUUUGUUUCAAGUGUUAAAGAUCACAAGGAUUGCAUCCAAGUGUUGGUAGGGCAAAGUUAGGGUGUUUGGAGUUCAAGGGUAAACUCCUUUCGAGUUUACGGUUUUAAUGACCUUUACCCUAGGAGUUUACGACAGUAAACUGAAGGGUUUACGGCAGUAAACUCAAGGGUUUACGGUCGUAAACUCCACUCCUUGAAACCAUGUGUUGUUUUGAGGUUUAACAAGUCUUUUGAAGUACUUCUACUUGGUGGUUUGGCCUUUGGAAGGGACUAGGGCAACAAAAACACUCCUUGGAGGAGUUUACGGCCUCAUGGACAUUUCCCUUUGGGUUUACUACCGUAAACCCUUAUGGAAAAGGGUAUUGCCAUGUUUUCAACUCCUUAACACAACUAGGUAAUUGUCUAGGUUAGUUUUUAGGCCUAACGAAGGAAAAUGACCCAUUUAAACACACUUUAGGGUGUUUAUGGUUUUGGGAGAUCCCCAAACCGUAAACACCUAUAAAUGUUGGUCUUUGGUGUUUUUCAAGGCUUAAACACAUCAAGGGAAGGUUUAAACAUGUCAAGGUAAGUCUUAAACAUCAAACUAGGGCUUAAAUAAAGACUUAGGCAAACCUUGGUGCCAUUCUUGGUGUUUACAGCCCAAGAACAUUCUUGGACCGUGAACACCUCAAACCUUGUGUUCUUGGCAUAUUUUCUUGAUGUUUAAAUGUAAUACUAGCUUAAUAACACUCAAGGAUGGAAGUGCUUACUAUUAGGAAGCUUGAUUUGAGCUAAAAGUCAAAGAACACUUAGUGUGUGUUCUUGGUGUUCUUGGUGUUUUUGGAAAUCUAGACAAAUUUACAUAAAUGAAUGGAUGAAUAGAUGUAUAAACACUAGAUUAAGUGUUUUACUAACUUCAAAUGGUUAGAACACUUACAAGUUUGAAGAUCUUGAAUAUGUUUUGGGAUGAUACUUGAAAGGAUAUUUUGGAGUUUACUCUUUUGAUAUUUGGGGAGUAAACACAAAUGGCUAGACUUGGGGAGUAAAAUCAUGCAUAUGAAUGAGUUCACGGAUUAUUGGGUGAUUUUUCGACCCAAACAUAAAAGUUUGGUCGGGAAUUUCUAAGACACGAGGUGUUUGCGGUUUUUAAAAUUCAAAACCCGAGACGGCACUUUCUUUCACCCGUUCGUUUAAAAAUAAUAUUAAAAUAAUCACACGAACUUUAAAUUUCUUAAAAUUAAGAAAUAAUGACAUUAACUUAUGAUACAACGUGGUUGACUUUUAGGGUUUGACUAAAUGGAAAUUUCGGGUUGUCACAUCAUCCCCUGUUAAAGGGAAUUUCAUCCUGAAAUUAAAGUCUAAACAAUAAAGUAGUUACAAAUAACUAAGCAAAAAGAUGAGGAUAUUUCAUUUUCAUCUGAUCCUCACGCUCCCAAGUGAAUUCCGGUCCUCGCUUGGCGUUCCAGCGAACCUUCACAAUCGGGAUAUGGCUUUGCUUCGUCUGCUUGACUUCUUGGUCCAUGAUCUCUACUGGUUCUUCCACGAUCUCGUCGAGUGGGAUUACAAGAGUCUCGUCGGACAGACACUUUUUCAAGUUAGAGACGUGGAAUGUAGAAUGUACGUUAUGUAGCUCGUCGGGUAGAUUGAGUUUGUAAGCUACAGAGCCGAUUCUUGCGAGAAUCUCGAAAGGCCCUAUAUAUCUCGGAUUGAGCUUCCCACUCUUACCAAAGCGUAUUAAGCCCUUCCAAGGUGAGACUUUAAGAAGGACUCGGUCUCCCACCUGGAAUUCCAAAGGUUUCCUUUGUUUGUCAGUGUAGCUUUUAUGUCGGUCUCUAGAGGCUUUCAAUCGUUCAUGGAUCUGAACGAUCUUCUCUGUCAUUUCUCGAAUGAUUUUCGGGCCUGUGAGAGUACUGUUAGAAAUUUGCCCUCUAGCUAAUUGGGUAUCACCCACUUCAGCCCAGCACAGAGGGGAUCUACACUUUCGGCCAUAGAGGGCUUCAAAUGGAGCAGCCUUGAUGGUCGUGUGAUAACUGUUAUUGUAGAAAAAUUCGACAAGGGGAAAAUGAGUAUCCCAUGCCUUUCCAAAGUUAAUCACACAGGCUCUCAACAUAUCUUCCAGUGUUUGGAUGGUCCUCUCACUUUGUCCGUCGGUCUGUGGAUGGUAGGACGUGCUCAUGUCUAGCCUUGUUCCCAGGGAAUGUUGUGGCGAUUGCCAGAAUCUUGAGGUGAACCUACUAUCUCUAUCGGAGAUAAUGGAUAUAGGAACACCAUGCAGUCGUAUGAUUUCCCUAAUGUAUGUUCUCGUAAGCUUCUCCAUUUUGCCAGUUUCUUUGAUAGGCAGGAAGUGCGCAGACUUGGUCAAUCUAUCGACUGACCCAUAUGGUAUCAAGCCCACUCGUUGUCUUGGGAAACUUGGUUAUGAAAUCCAUAGUGAUCCGCUCCCACUUCCAUUCUGGAAUCUCUGGUUCUUGUAGUAAACUGGAGGGCUUCUGGUACUCGACCUUAACCUUUGCACAAGUAAGGCAUUUACUUACGAAGGUAGCAAUCUCUACUUUCAUAUUAGGCCACCAGUAUAACUUUUUAAGAUCCAGAUACAUCUUAUCUGAACCUGGGUGAAUGGAAUACCGAGUGUUGUGCGCCUCGGUCAUGACCAAGUCUCAGAAACCACCGUGCUUCGGUGUCCAGAUCCGGUUCAUGAAAUAUAAGGCUCUGCCACCCUUGGCUUCUAAAUUUUUAUCCAUUCCUCUAAGGGAUUCACUCGUCACGUUUUCAGGUUUCAUGGCUUCGAGCUGGGCCGCCUGAAUUUGCUUAGACAAGUGUGAAUGGAUAGUCAUCGUCAAUGACUUGACUCUUCGACCAGAAUAUUCCUUCCGACUNGUUGGCCUUUCCAGAUUGAUAAUGAAUUUCACAUUCAUAGUCAUUGAGUAGCUUGACCCAUCGUCAUUGUCGCAUGUUGAGCUCCUUCUGAUCAAAUAUGUGCUGUAAACUCUUGUGGUCGGUAAAGAUAGUGCUUUUCAUUCCGUACAAGUAAUGUCUCUAGAUCUUCAGUGCAUACACAACUACUCCCAGCUCAAGAUCGUGUGUGGUGUAGUUAACUUCGUGUGUCUUCAGCUAUUUCGAGGCGUAGGCGAUGAACUUACCCCGUUGCAUCAGAACACAACCGAGCCCUUGAUUUGACGCGUCGCAAUAGACAACGAAGUCUUCUAUCCCUUCGUGGAGGGAUAGUAUUGGUGCGGUGCACAAGGCUCGCUUGAGUGUUUGGAACACUCUCUCCUGUUUCUCUUCCCAGUCAAAGGCCACGCCUUUUUGGGUCAGUGUUGUAAGAGGUUUCGCAAUUCGGGAGAAGUUCUAUAUGAACAUGCGGUAGUAGCCAGCGAGGCCUAGAAAUUGACGAAUUUCGGUAGGCGUCUUCUAUGUUCACCAGUUCUAAAUGGCCUUAAUUUUGGAUGGGUCCAUGUGGAUUCCUUCUUUGCUUACCACGUGUCCUAAUAAUUCGACUCUUCGGAUCCAAAAUUCACAUUUAGAGAACUUCGCAUAGAGCUUCUCCGUUCGUAAAGUUCCUAGAACUUGUCGCAGGUGAUCGCCAUGCUCUUCCUUACUUCGGGAGUAGAUCAGGAUGUCAUCGAUGAAGACAAUGACGAACUGAUCCAAGUAAGGUCGGCAUACUCUAUUCAUCAGAUCCAUGAAAACUGCGGGUGCAUUGGUCAAUCCGAAUGGCAUCACCACGAACUCGUAGUAUCCGUAACGAGUUCGGAAGGCUGUCUUUGAAACAUCCUCCUCUAGCACUCGUAACUGGUGAUAUCCGGAUCUUAGGUCAAUUUUGGAAAAGUAGUUCGCCCCUUGCAGUUGGUCAAAUAGAUCGUCUAUGCGGGGCAGAGGGUAACGAUUUUUUACCGUCAGUUUGUUGAGUUCUCUUUAGUUGAUGCACAUACGGAAUGAUCCGUCUUUAAUCUUAACGAACAAGACCGGUGCUCCCCAAGGCGAGAAACUUGGUCUUAUAAAGCCCUUGCUGAGCAGUUCGUUAAGUUGACCAGAUAGUUCAUGCAUCUCUGCUGGUGCUAAUCGGUAGGGCGACUUGGCUACUGGGGUAGCUCCUGGGACUAAGUCGAUUCUGAACUCGACUUGUCGUUGCGGAGGUAAUCCGGGUAGUUCUUCUGGGAAAAUGUCGGGAAAGUCGCUCACUACUGGAAUGUUCUUUAGUUCUUUCGUUUCGAGGCUCGUAUCGACAACGUGAGCAAGGAAUGCAUGGUAUUCUUUAUGUAGAUACUUCUGUGCUUGGAUACUUGAUAUAAUACGAAGACUCGCACUGGGUUUGUCGCCGUAGACGACAAGGGUUUCGUUAGACGGACUGCUUUCUCGUAGCACAUGAUGUCGGCGCGAUGAAGACUUAACCAAUCCAUGCCAAUGAUAACGUCGAAACUUUUAAUCGAGACCGGCAUAAGGUCGAGUGGGAAUGAAUGGUUAUCUGGAGUUAGGGUACAACCUAAGUAUAUGCUAUUCGUGCUUUCAGUUUUUCCAUUAGCCAUUUCUAUUGUGAAUUGUUCUUUAAGUGUGUGUGGUGGUUGUUUAAGCAUGCGAGCAAAUUUAUAGUUCACGAAGCUUCGCUCCGCUCCACUAUCGAACAUAAUGCAUGCAUAGGAGUUAUCGAGGAGGAACGUACCAGUCACCACUGUCGGGUCAGCAACUGCUUCCCCGUGGCCUAUUGCUAGUACCCUCCCUGCUCCUCCAGUAUUCCUCGCCUUAGGGCAGUCCCUUUUAAAGUGGCCUGUUUCGCCACAUCCAUAGCAAGUUGGGCUCACGCCAGAGCCAGGAACUUGGGAGAUCGGUUGCGCCGGGAACNGACUGUGUGUCCUUUCCUAUUGCAGUUAGAGCACUGCAUUUCACGGCAGGGUCCGUUGUGGUGGUAGUUUCAUUUGUUGCAUUUAGGCAAACUUCCAGCAUACUGCCCCACCGGAGCAGUAGCAGCAGGGGUUAUUGCGGCAUGCACAGCCACAGUUUGCUGCUUUUUUGCAGCUCGUUGUUUCUUCUUCUCAUCCCAGAACUUCCGCUUAGUGUCAGCGGGUUUGGAGGGUUCUGAGAUGGCUAGGGUUGUUGUCGCUGCUGGGGCUUUAACUCCAUGGUCAAUGAGUCGUUGUGCCAGUCGCUUGGCACUGUUGAAGGUAGCAGGGUUUGAUGAUUGGACAUUUCCCUGAUACGGAGGCACUAGCCCCCAUAUGUACCUCUCAAUCUUUUUCCCUUUAGUGGGAACCAUAUUGGGGCAGAGGGCCACCAGUUCACUGAAUCUGACGGUAUAUACGACUAUGUUGGAGCCCUUCAUGGUUAGGCUCCACAACUCCUGCUCCAAUUUCUGGAUCUCGCCCCUCGGGCAGUAUUCCUCGAUCAUGAGGUCUUUCAUGGUUUCCCAACCCAUGUCAUUGGCCACCAUGAGAGUUAGUGCUUUAACAUGGCCAUUCCACCACGUCAGGGCUUUUUCUUCAAAGGUGCAUGCGGCAUAUUUGACUUUGCUCGCAGCAGGGCACGAACAGAUUUUGAAGACUGAUUCAGUCUUCUCGAACCAUUGCAAGAGGGCAAUGACUCCGCUGGUUCCUUUGAAGGACUUCGGCUUGCAGUUGGUGAAAUCCUUGUAGGAGCACUCUCUUGAGCGCACAGGGAUUUCANNNNNNNNNNNNNNNNNNNNNNNNNNNNNNNNNNNNNNNNNNNNNNNNNNNNNNNNNNNNNNNNNNNNNNNNNNNNNNNNNNNNNNNNNNNNNNNNNNNNNNNNNNNNNNNNNNNNNNNNNNNNNNNNNNNNNNNNNNNNNNNNNNNNNNNNNNNNNNNNNNNNNNNNNNNNNNNNNNNNNNNNNNNNNNNNNNNNNNNNNNNNNNNNNNNNNNNNNNNNNNNNNNNNNNNNNNNUGGCUGCAGUAUCGAUGACUGGAGGAGGAUGAGGUGGUGGAGGUGCAGGGUUAGGCCUGGGAGAUUUGCGAGGAGGCAUCUUUUUGCUGAACGUUUAUAAAGGUAAGCACAUUGGUAAGAAUCAAUUGUAAGUGGGGUGAGAGUGACACAUGGACUAACUAACCAUAGCCCAACAGUUGAAUGAGUGUUUUGAGAUCACAACAUAGAAGAAUAUUAAGAAAACACAAGUGUACGGAUUUUUCCAUAGAUUAGGUAGUUGUCAAUAAUACUGGUAUUACUGAUUUAAUAAGUUCAGGGAAAAUCGAACUAACAGUAGGUCGUACAUCAUACCAUACAGAAAAGUUUGACAGUUCUUAGAUUCCUAGUUAGAGUACUGAAAGUUAGGAAUAUUUUACAGACAAGUGCUACUUGGAGCACAUAUACUAAAGGCUAUUCCUUAACCAAAAGACAAAGAUUUACUAGACAUCUCUAACGGCAAUGGGAAUUCCUCGGGCGAACCCUGAGGUCUGCCACUUGACGAACCACCUCUUGAAGGUGUCGCUCAUGAUCCCUCUGACGGGCUCGAAAUUCCAUGACUUCGGCUCGGGAGGCAGCCAGUUGUUUCUGCAGGGUCUCAUUGGUUCUCCUGGUCCUUUCCAUUUCUUCUUCAAGACAGCGGAUGCGGACUGUGUUGACACCAGAGUUGGCAUCAAUCUCCAUGACCUGGUCGAUGGCUGCUUUACCUUGUUCAACAUUACAAGCUAUUCUGCGGAUAAUGACGGGCAAAACUCGAUCCACAGAGCCACCUUCGCUGAGGUUGUAAAAGCUUCGGUCCCCAAAGUAAGGUAAGGGUUGACCUUAUUCGUCACUCCAGCGAUUCAAGUUGGUUGCCCACAAGGGUGUGGGACCUGGGAAAGCUGGUCGGGAUUGUUGUUUGGGGCUUGACCUACUGGCGGUAGGUUGUUGACUUCAGGCUCAGAGUCAGAUCCAUCAAAAAAGCCUUCUGCGAGGUGAUCAUCCAAAGGGAUUGGAUGCUCAUCUUCGGGCUCUUCUUCGAUCCACCCAGCAUUGCCUUCAUUUGGGAAGUACGGGUCACCAUGAUGGAAUCCAGCCAUUUAAAUCUACGCGAGAAGAGAGGUAUAAGAAUAUAGUAUAUAAGUAGCUUGUAGUAGCACAAAAUACCCCUAUAGUAUUUUAAGUUUAAGUUCUACUGAUCUCCUUGUGGUAUUGUUGGUAAGUCUUUAGACUUGUUAACAUAUCACAACCAUUCUAGGGCAUAAGCUAAUCACUCCUCGGACCAGCAAAGUUGAUCAGGCUAUGCCAUUCCCAGGACUGACCCUACAUCCCCGAGCUUACUUGUGAUAUUUAACAAUCGUAAUACUUUUGAUCUUGUCAUUGUGACACUGAUUUUAGUAUGAAUGCAGACUAGUAUACUUAAUUAAAUAUUUUAAUAUUUAAAGUAUAGACUCUUGGUCAGAGUGUUUUAAAUCCCAAAUGGGUUUAUAGUUAGUAUAUCUUUUAUGGGUUGAUAUACUCAAUUCACUAUAAACAAUGCUCUAAUACCAAUCUGUCACACCCCAAAACUGAGAAUGGCGGAAACGUUCUGGGGCGGAGGACGUCAUGUAAAGUAUCACAACACAGUAUAACAGUAAAUAAGCAAACAACAUCAUCCAUUGCAUUAAAUAUAUAUUUUUAAUACAAGUGUGAUCCGUACAGUUAUAGACACCAAAAAGUAAAUCAAAAUAAUAAGAUGAGUCUUGAAUGCGCUCCGUCUUCUCAAAAGCUGGCCUCGGUACCUGUCUACUGAUGACCUGAGAAUACAAGUUAUUUUGAAAGAGUUUAUCAGCAUUAAGCUGGUGAGUUCAUAAGUAUUUUAGUGUCGGUGUUUGUGGUUUUAAGCAUGAGUUUGUAAACAUUGGUGACAAAACUAUGUGAAUGUUUGUAAAAGUUUGAAUCUCUCAGAAAAACCUAUAUUUUCUAUUAAAAGUAGCCUUCUACUAAGGCGUAACUAUUUUGUAUGUUCGUUUAUUGUAAAAGGGUGUAAUUUUCCCAAGUGUAACUAUCAUUAACAAAAUAUAGUUUGUACAUUAAUGUUUAAGUGAAAUGAUCACUAAAUAUAUGUAAAGGGUAAAAUAACGUAGUACUGUAGUGUUGUAUUAUAGGAAAUACUGCUGUACUAACUACCUUAAACCGGAUUUAUAUUAAGGUAUCAUGUGAUUAAUUGUACCAUACUAUCGACUAGGUAACACGACAUUGUAGGUCGUAAAAAGGUAUGACGUUUGGCACCCGCAGACCUGCAGGUCCGGCUAUAGCUAGCAGCAAGGUGUAGGAUAGUCAAUC